ensembl:rRNA 5S_rRNA 5S ribosomal RNA
GUCAGCAGCCAUAUCACCCUGCAACUCACAACUCACAACUGGCAACCCACUGAAGCUAAGCAGGUGUGAGCCUGGUCAGUACCUGGAUGGGAGACCUCCUGGGAAAAACUAAGGUUGCUGCUGGAA